UACGGAAGGGGCAAGCGUUGUCCGGAAUCAUUGGGCGUAAAGAGCGUGUAGGCGGCCUGGUAAGUCCGCUGUGAAAGUCCAGGGCUCAACCCUGGAAUGCCGGUGGAAACUGUCAGGCUCGAGUCCGGAAGAGGCGAGUGGAAUUCCUGGUGUAGCGGUGAAAUGCGCAGAUAUCAGGAGGAACACCAAUGGCGAAGGCAGCUCGCUGGGACGGUACUGACGCUGAGACGCGAAAGCGUGGGGAGCAAACAGG
rnacentral:rRNA from 1 species